rnacentral:rRNA from 1 species
CACGUAGGGGCCAAGCGUUGUCCGGAUUUAUUGGGCGUAAAGAGCUCGUAGGCGGUUGGGUAAGUCGGGUGUGAAAACUCUGGGCUCAACUCAGAGACGCCACCCGAUACUGCUCUGACUUGAGUCCGGUAGGGGAGUGGGGAAUUCCUGGUGUAGCGGUGAAAUGCGCAGAUAUCAGGAGGAACACCGGUGGCGAAGGCGCCCACUCUGGGCCGGAACUGACGCUGAGGAGCGAAAGCGUGGGUAGCAAACAGG